rnacentral:rRNA from 1 species
GACAGAGGGUGCAAACGUUGUUCGGAAUUACUGGGCGUAAAGCGUGUGUAGGCGGCUACGUAAGUCGGAUGUGAAAGCCCCAGGCUCAACCUGGGAAGUGCACUCGAUACUGCGUAGCUUGAGUAUCGGAGAGGUUGGUGGAAUUCUCGGUGUAGAGGUGAAAUUCGUAGAUAUCGAGAGGAACACCGGUGGCGAAGGCGGCCAACUGGACGAAUACUGACGCUGAGGCGCGAAAGCUAGGGGAGCAAACAGG